CAAAGAACAAAGAUGGCAGCUGCUUUGUGGGGGAACAGAUUUGUGGCAAAUCGAGAUAAAAUAAAGAGGAAGGAGAAAGGAGUGUAUGGGAAAAAAUGCUGAGAAAAAGGGGCAAGUUGGGAAGGGGCGGGGGGGAGCAAGGCGGCUGUCAGCCUACAGAGCACUGUGCAGGAGGGAAAGCAGCGUGGGGGAAACAGAAAAGCUGGCGAACAUGAAAAAAACCAUUUCCAGGCUCCUGGAGUCAUGGGUGCAGAUAAGCAGAGACGUCGUGGCUAUGAGAGCCUCUCAGGGCAGAUGGAAGGAGAACGCCUCCGCUGUGGUCAGUCCCUGAAGACAAAGUGGAUGCUGCUGGCACACUGGAAUGACGGCACGGGUUUGCUGACGGUUUUGCAUGGGAGCAUCGGUUGGGUUUACACCUACAAGUGCUUGGCUAUGGCAGCGGGGCAUCCCAUGGAAAGGCCAAAAAGCAGCAGAGAGAUCCAGGGAAGGAGGAGAUGGCACACGCUGCAAGCCUGUUCUCUGUCAGCGACGCUGCUGGGAGCACGGACACCCAUAGUGGAGCCAGCAGCUGAGGACAGCUCACAGGAGAGGAAAAAAAUGGAGCCAAGGAUGGCACUGUCUCUUUAAAAAUAAAUAAAUAGAUAAAGACUAAAAAAAAAAAAAAGAAAGAAAAAAUGCAAUAAGUAUAUGCAAAUGUG
ensembl:lncRNA